GACUCUCUGCCCCGCAGGUGAGGUCAGAACGUCCACGCGGAAUAAUAUAAAUCCGGGAAUUCCUCAACGAUUCUGUGAGCCCGCCCACCUUUGAGUGGGACGCCUGAUGAAUCGACAGGAGCUCCCACCUAUCUGGUACUCGUUGUGAGUCCGAAAGAUCCACGGCCGCGGUGGAGAGUCG
rnacentral:other from 1 species